AUGCACAAUGAUGUUAUAGCCAAAGCAUUCAAAAAUGCUCCACUUAAUAAUCAGUUACUGUCUUCAACAAUUCAGAAGGAUAUUACUGAGUGCUUUGCAGAAGAAGUAUUGAGUUGUAUUUUGAAGGAGCUUGACAAUGGCGUGUUCGGCUUAUUAGUUGAUGAAUGUCGUGAUGUUUCUGACGAAGAGCAAAUGGCAGUGGUUCUACGUUAUGUAGAUACAUGUGGGCUAUCAAAUGAGAGGUUUGUUGGUGUUCUUCAUGUGGGGGAAACAACAUCUGCUUAUCUCAAGUCUAAAAUUGAUUUUAUAAUUGCAAAGCUUGGCUUGAGUCUACACCAAGUGAGAGGACAAGGUUAUGAUGGGGCCAGUAAUAUGGCAGGUGAGUUUAAUGGUUUGCAAGCCAAGAUUAUGAGGGAGAACAGCUCAGCUUAUUACGUACAUUGUUUUGCUCAUAAACUUAACUUGGUUGUUGUGGCCAUUGCAAAAAAGAUAUUUGAUGUUGGAGAUUUCUUUGAUAUGAUAUCAUUAUUGGUGAAUUUCGUUGGAUCAUCUUGCAAGAGAAAGGAUAAACUUAGAGAGAACCAUCGAGAAGAAGUGAGGAAAGCAAUUGGUAAGGGAGAGAUUGCUACAGGGUCCGGAUUAAACCAGGAGCUUUCUCUUCAAAGACCAGGAGAUACAAGAUGGAAUUCUCACUAUACCACUUUGUCAAGUUUGUCGAAGAUGUUUACCUCGGUGGUAAAAGUUCUAGAGUGCGUGGAGGAAGAGGGCUCGGAUGCUACUAAGCAAUGUCAAGCCAGUGGUCUUCUAAAAUAUUUCCGUUCAUUUGAUUCUGCAUUCUUUCUACACAUGAUGAUGAUUAUAUUAGCUUUAAUGAAUGGGCUGUCAAAAACAUUUCAGAGAAAGGAUAUGGACAUUGUAAAUGCUAUAUCAGAUGUGGAAUCUGUUAAGCGAGAGCUAGAUAAGCUUAGAUCUCAACAUGGAUGGAAUUCUCUCCUGAGCAAGGUAUGUUCUUUUUGCGACAAGAAUGAUAUCUCGGUUGUGGACAUGGAAAAGGAGUACGUAAAUCCAAAGAAGCCAAGGCAGAGGACUGGCAUUAAUAAUGGGCAUCAUUAUGGAGUUGAUUGUUUUUUUGUUGUCUUGGAUUUAUUGGCAGAAGAACUAAAUCGCAGAUUCAAUGAGGUAAACAAUGAGUUGCUUUGUUGUAUGUCUGCUUUCAACCCAAGCGGUCAGUUUAGUCACUAUGAUCAUGAGAAGUUGUUGAAGUUGGCUAAGUUUUAUCCUAAUGACUUUAGUGAUACUGAGUUGGAGCAUCUUGAGAAGGAGCUUUGCCCGUACAUACAUAAUGUACGCAAUGAUACAAGAUUUGCUAGCUUGGAAACUAUCAAUGAUCUGGCUAAAUUGAUGGUAUCUAUGAAGAAGCACUUUUCUUAUCCUCUUGUCUAUCGACUUUUGAAAUUAGUACUGACUCUUCCUGUUGCCACUGCAACUGUUGAGAGAUGCUUCUCCGCAAUGAAGCUUGUGAAGAAUGCUUUACGUAACAAGAUGGGUGAUGAUUAUUUGAGCAAUAGCCUUAUUUGCUUCGUAGAAAAGGAAAUGCUAGAUAAUAUUACUAAUGAGGUGAUAGUUAAACGUUUUCAUGUGAAAAGCCGACGUGGGAUGAAACGGAAGGAGGUAAUGUUCUCAAGCUUAUUUUAUUUAUUUAUCAGUAUUUAA
rnacentral:rRNA from 1 species